UACGUAGGGGGCAAGCGUUGUCCGGAUUCAUUGGGCGUAAAGAGCUCGUAGGCGGCUUGGCAAGUCGGGUGUGAAACCUCCAGGCUCAACCUGGAGACGCCACCCGAUACUGCCAUGGCUAGAGUCCGGUAGGGGACCACGGAAUUCCUGGUGUAGCGGUGAAAUGCGCAGAUAUCAGGAGGAACACCGAUGGCGAAGGCAGUUCUCUGGGCCGUUACUGACGCUGAGGAGCGAAAGCGUGGGGAGCGAACAGG
rnacentral:rRNA from 1 species